rnacentral:lncRNA from 10 species
CUCACCCAGUCACGGUGAUACCAACUCUCCAACCAGUGACUGUUCUUGGAACAUGCAGAUCACUCUAUUCUAGACGUGAGGCAUGAGGAGAAGCCUGCAGGAAGCUUCUGGAAAGGAGUUCAUCACUCCUAAGGGGAAGUCGUGGUGCAGGGAUGAGGGACGCUGCCUGCCUUUGCUGUCGAGCAGAGGUCUCACCCCUGCUUUGUGAGUUUCUGAGUUUCUGAGUGACCUCAGCAAAGCAGCUCAGCCUUUGAGCUCAGCUUUCUCAUAGGAAAACGGGGUUGAAAAAUCUUCCCCACAUUUAUUAUGCAAAAGCAACCGACGGAGGAGCGCCUGCUGAUGCUCAGCAAAAUGCCGUCUGUGUGCUGCUCAUCAUUCCACGCCUUCACCCUGAACGCCCAGCUUCUUAUCAGAGUCUAGGGGCAGCAGAGAGUGAUUGAAUACGCACGUGUGUCCACACUGCAGCCACGGCAAGGCCGAGAGAGGGGCUCCCCACCAUGCUGGCGGCCUGGGGCCUGGACAGAGCCAACUGGGGAAAGUGCCUCGCAACAGACCAACCUGGUGAGGGAGGCGGGGGGAGCACAUGGCGCAACCCACCCUCCUACCAUCCACAUUGCAAAGCCCCAGCGAUUCCUGGGCGUCACUUUUCCACCCCCACCCACCCUGUGUCUCUGUGGCUUCGGGCGCGAGCUUGUGGGGCAGAGCCAACAGACAGAGCUGGGGACACCUGGGGCCGCUUCACAGCGAGAUGCCAGACUCAGGCCUUUACCAAGCUGCGCGUCACUGGUAGAAAAGGACAUUAGGAACACUAGGUAAAAAGCAAAACAAAAAUAAAUCUCACUUGGCAUCUUUCC